AUUAAUAACAAUGUAUUAUGAAUAAUGUGUUAAGAAGAGGAGCAAAAUAAAUUUUGACAACAAAGGAAAGUUAGAAGUGAACCACGUAGCUGGUUCAAAGUCAUUUGUACGACUUCGUCACGACAUGCGAGAUUCCGUCACUGACUAGGAGCCUGGACCAAUAGACUUCUACAAAGAGACUCACUGUCGGCAUGUGACGGGAUCUUGGGUACAUCCUAGAGCCAGUGAGAUUUGGGAGGAGAUGGACACCUUACGCAGUCAGCCCACUCCCGAUGGUACUCAGCGGAGUGAACCAGAGAUCCUGAGUCAGGUGCUUAGCACCCAUUCUGGAUAUGUGCGUCGGUUUGGCCAUGGUGCUAUGCUCAUGGCAUCCGCUAGAGCUGCCUCUAGCCGAUCCAUCGUCAUUGGCGACAACGCCAUACGCCGAGCUGAUACUGCAGAGAGAGAGAGGUUUUGUAGCUACAGGUUGUCGUCGAUGACCUCAAAUAUCAGCUGGAUAGGCAGAGGGAGGAGCAGGAGAGGAAGAUGAUGGAUCAGCUGGCGAGGCAGAGGGAGGAGCAGGAGAGGAGGAUGGAGGAGGAGUUGGCGAGGCAGAGGGAGGAGCAGGAGAGGAGGAUGGAGGAUCAGCUGACAAGAUAGAGGAGGAUGGAGGAGGAGCUGGUGAGGCAGAGGGAGAAGCAGGAGAGGAGGAUGGAGGAGAUGCGGGUGGAGCAUGAGCGACAGAUGACGGAGAUGUUUUAGGUUUUUGCUGCACGCUUACCCACUGAUGCCCCACCGCCUCCGCCUUCAAUUUUGUGAUUUUUUAUAUAUUUGUUUAUGAUGUUAAGUUUAUAUGUAUUUAUGCGUAAAUGAAUGUGAUAUAGAUAAGAUUAUUUGUGUUUGGAUGAAUGUAGUUUAUGUUUGGGUUUGGGUUUAGAUGGAUGUGAAUGUGAAUAUGAUGAAAUAUAUUAUAUAACAGG